CCUGAGCCCAAAUAAAUGUUUCUCUUUAUUAAACUGAUUAUCUCAGUAUUUGUUCACAGUGACAGACAGCUGACAGAGAGAAGAGAAAGCCAAGAGAGUUAACUGUUACAAAGUCCUUGCUGAGAGACCUGGUUAAAAAUGUACUCCAUGGCCUCACCUUUGUGUCUGCUGCUGCUCCAGCUCCUGAGGCGGCUUCAGGGAGGCCCACAGGUGGGACUGUUGUUGGGAGGGCAGAAGCCUCAGGAGCAUGGGCUUGGAUCAGACA
ensembl:snoRNA